ACCACCCUAAUGCGCAAGGCAUUACUGAUGCGUUUGCUGUUAUGCAGCUGUAAUCUACCGCACGGCACACAACCUACUUGAGAAACUGCUCCGGUGCAACCUCCCGCCUACACCUCUGGUCAGUCACUGCUGUGCCCUGCUCCCUCAGCAGCAGUCACAGGAUCACUCCAUGAUGUUUGCACAAGGACAAAAUGGGCUAAAGUUGCACUUCUCAGAAUACAUCUCCUUCAGAUACCUUUGUGUUCUCUCAUUCUGGAGUGAAACAAGUUAUAUACCUGGACCAUGCAUCAGAGGAAUAAGAGAUCAGGAAUCCUGAGAUGGAGCAUAAGGUCAUGGAAACUGCCACAUUGAAUUACAAAACGUUGGCCCCGAGAAUACGGUGAUAAAUGAGACUGCAUCUGGGCCUUGGAGUCUAAUGGGUGCCUCCAUGGAGCAGCCUUCAAAAUGCUUGGAAGAUUGAAAGUGAAAGUCAUUCUAUCAUGUUCAGCUAAUAUCCAUGAGAAGAGAACAUUCACUUUAGAAAGAAGUAAAUUGUGAGUCAAUGUUCCUGUAAAAGAUCAAUUAAAUAUUAAUAAAUUUCCAUGAUACAUUAAAAUCAAGUACAAG